GAUCAUGGCUCAGGAUGAACGCUGGCGGCGUGCUUAACACAUGCAGGUCGAACGGACUUUACAUGAAGCCUAGCGAUUGUAAAGUUAGUGGCGGACGGGUGAGUAACGCGUGAAUAACCUGGCCUGUACCGGGGGACAACAGUUGGAAACGGCUGCUAAUACCGCAUAAGCGCACGGUUCCGCAUGGAACAGUGUGAAAAACUCCGGUGGUACAGGAUGGAUUCGCGUCUGAUUAGCCAGUUGGG
rnacentral:rRNA from 1 species